GACGUAGGGGGCCAGCGUUGUUCGGAAUUACUGGGCGUAAAGGGUUCGUAGGCGGUGUGGCAAGUCGGGAGUGAAAUCUCUGGGCUCAACCCAGAGACUGCUUCCGAAACUGCUGUGCUUGAGUGUGAGAGAGGCUCGUGGAAUUGCAGGUGUAGCGGUGAAAUGCGUAGAUAUCUGCAGGAACACCCGUGGCGAAAGCGGCGAGCUGGAUCACUACUGACGCUGAGGAACGAAAGCUAGGGGAGCAAACAGG
rnacentral:rRNA from 1 species